UUUCUAAUAUUUCAUUAGUUAAACAUUGUAUAUGAUUUGGGAUUACAUAGCUUAUAAUUUUCACAUUGUUAAACAUACAUACAUACAAGUUUGGAAUAGAAACGCAUACAGUUCAAAAGUCAAAUGUUGGGAAUGUCAUUGAAUACAUACGUGAUAUGUACACAAUGAGACAAACAUCACUAACUAAACAUUCAAACCAAAAAAAAAACCUAAAAUAGGAAAAGACUCAAUGUCAAAUAAAAAAAAAUUCAAUCUUGGCAGAAGAACAAAACAAUAAUAUAAAAAAAAGCUAUUACAAAGUUGUUUAAAGUAGACAAAUGAGCGUAAUAAACACAGGAGGUAUCUCUUCUACUUUGUUGAUUAUGCUAGAACAAUGCUCAAAACAAGUUUUUCUUUAACAAAUUAUUUAAGUAAAAUAUUAAGAGAAUUUAAAGUCAAUGUGUGUGAGGUAUUGAAUUACAUUGUUAAAGGACUGUGCGUCAGAUGUCAAAACUAGUAUGAAAAGUUUGAUUAAACCAACUUUGGCAAAAGUGGAUAGCUGACAUAGCAUGAAAUUACCUAAAGAUGAAGAUACACUUUCAGUAUGGAAUGUCAUGUCUAACCCAAGGCAUCAUUGAAUAUGUUGUUCUUUGUAUUUAAAUGAUCCUAUAAAAUUCUAUGGCCCUUGAUUAUCACAUUUUUUCUCAAUAUUAAAUGUAUUCUUUUGAGAUUGAUAUAAAUAUUGUUUGAUUACAACCAAUACCUAAACAAGGGGCAAUCAGGAGAGUUAAUGUCACUGAGUAUAAACACAUAAAAGUUACAUGCAUAUAAUAAAUGUAUAAUAUAUUUAUGAAUACAUCAAUCACUGUAUAUGUUGCUUCUUGUAGCAUAAUACCACUUGCAAAUGGUAUGAAUUUAUAAUGUUAUCUG